AUAUCAAUAAGCGGAGGAAAAGAAACUAACAAGGAUUCCCCUAGUAACGGCGAGUGAAGCGGGAAAAGCUCAAAUUUAAAAUCUGGCGGUCUCUGGCCGUCCGAGUUGUAGCCUAGAGAAGCGUCUUCCGCGGCGGACCAUGUACAAGUCUCCUGGAACGGAGCGUCAUAGAGGGUGAGAAUCCCGUCCUUGACAUGGACCCCCGUCGCUCUGCGAUGCGCUCUCGAAGAGUCGAGUUGUUUGGGAAUGCAGCUCAAAAUGGGUGGUAAAUUCCAUCUAAAGCUAAAUAUUGGCGAGAGACCGAUAGCGCACAAGUA
rnacentral:rRNA from 1 species